CUGGUUGAUCCUGCCAGUAGUCAUAUGCUUGUCUCAAAGACUAAGCCAUGCAUGUCUAAGUAUAAAUGUUAUACAGUGAAACUGCGAAUGGCUCAUUAAAACAGUUAUAGUUUAUUUGAUAAUCGAAUUUUACAUGGAUAACCGUGGUAAUUCUAGAGCUAAUACAUGCUGGUUAGCCUGACUUCUAGGAAGGGCUGUAUUUAUUAGAUAACAAACCAAUAUUCCUCGUGUCUAUUGUGAUGACUCAUAAUAACUGAUCGAAUCGCAUGGGCCUUGCCCGCGAUACAUCAUUCGAGUUUCUGUCCCAUCAGCUUUCGAUGGUAGUGUAUUGGACUACCAUGGCUUUAACGGGUAACGGAGGAUUAGGGUUCGACUCCGGAGAGGGAGCCUGAGAAACGGCUACCACAUCUAAGGAAGGCAGCAGGCGCGUAAAUUACCCAAUCCUGACUCAGGGAGGUAGUGACAAGAAAUAACGGACCGAGGCUUCACGCUUCGGGAUUGCAAUGAGUAGAAUUUAAACCCCUUUACGAGGAUCAAUUGGAGGGCAAGUCUGGU
rnacentral:rRNA from 1 species